rnacentral:rRNA from 1 species
GAACGGGUGAGUAACACGUGAGCAACCUGCCCCUGACUCUGGGAUAAGCGGUGGAAACGCCGUCUAAUACCGGAUAUGACCUGCCACCUCAUGGUGGCGGGUGGAAAGUUUUAUCGGUCAGGGAUGGGCUCGCGGCCUAUCAGCUUGUUGGUGGGGUAACGGCCUACCAAGGCGAUUACGGGUAGCCGGCCUGAGAGGGCGACCGGCCACACUGGGACUGAGACACGGCCCAGACUCCUGCGGGAGGCAGCAGUGGGGAAUAUUGCACAAUGGGCGAAAGCCUGAUGCAGCGACGCCGCGUGGGGGAUGACGGCCUUCGGGUUGUAAACCUCUUUUACCACCAACGCAGGCUCCACGUUUUCGUGGGGUUGACGGUAGGUGGGGAAUAAGGACCGGCUAACUACGUGCCAGCAGCCGCGGUAAUACGUAGGGUCCGAGCGUUGUCCGGAAUUAUUGGGCGUAAAGAGCUCGUAGGCGGCAUGUCGCGUCUGCUGUGAAAGACCGGGGCUUAACUCCGGUUCUGCAGUGGAUACGGGCAUGCUAGAGGUAGGUAGGGGAAACUGGAAUUCCUGGUGUAGCGGUGAAAUGCGCAGAUAUCAGGAGGAACACCGGUGGCGAAGGCGGGUUUCUGGGCCUUACCUGACGCUGAGGAGCGAAAGCAUGGGGAGCGAACAGGAUUAGAUACCCUGGUAGUCCAUGCCGUAAACGUUGGGCGCUAGGUGUGGGGACUUUCCACGGUUUCCGCGCCGU